UUACAUGUACUAGAUAGCCUUCUU
rnacentral:piRNA from 1 species